AACGAAUGCUGGCGGCAUGCCUAACACAUGCAAGUCGAACGAGACCUUCGGGUCUAGUGGCGCACGGGUGCGUAACGCGUGGGAACCUGCCCUUAGGUUCGGAAUAACUCCCCGAAAGGGGUGCUAAUACCGGAUAAUGUCUUCGGACCAAAGAUUUAUCGCCUUUGGAUGGGCCCGCGUUGGAUUAGCUAGUUGGUAGGGUAAAAGCCUACCAAGGCGACGAUCCAUAGCUGGUCUGAGAGGAUGAUCAGCCACACUGGGACUGAGACACGGCCCAGACUCCUACGGGAGGCAGCAGUGGGGAAUAUUGGACAAUGGGCGAAAGCCUGAUCCAGCAAUGCCGCGUGAGUGAUGAAGGCCUUAGGGUUGUAAAGCUCUUUUACCCGGGACGAUAAUGACAGUACCGGGAGAAUAAGCUCCGGCUAACUCCGUG
rnacentral:rRNA from 1 species